UACGGAGGGGGCUAGCGUUGUUCGGAAUUACUGGGCGUAAAGCGCACGUAGGCGGACAUUUAAGUCAGGGGUGAAAUCCCGGGGCUCAACCCCGGAACUGCCUUUGAUACUGGGUGUCUGGAGGUCGAGAGAGGUGAGUGGAAUUCCGAGUGUAGAGGUGAAAUUCGUAGAUAUUAGGAAGAACACCAGUGGCGAAGGCGGCUCACUGGAUCGGUACUGACGCUGAGGUGCGAAAGCGUGGGGAGCAAACAGG
rnacentral:rRNA from 1 species